GAUGAACGCUGGCGGCGUGCCUAAUACAUGCAAGUCGAGCGAACAGACGAGGAGCUUGCUCCUUUGACGUUAGCGGCGGACGGGUGAGUAACACGUGGAUAACCUACCUAUAAGACUGGGAUAACUUCGGGAAACCGGAGCUAAUACCGGAUAACAUGUUGAACCGCAUGGUUCAACAGUGAAAGACGGUCUUGCUGUCACUUAUAGAUGGAUCCGCGCCGCAUUAGCUAGUUGGUAAGGUAACGGCUUACCAAGGCAACGAUGCGUAGCCGACCUGAGAGGGUGAUCGGCCACACUGGAACUGAGACACGGUCCAGACUCCUACGGGAGGCCGCAGUAGGGAAUCUUCCGCAAUGGGCGAAAGCCUGACGGAGCAACGCCGCGUGAGUGAAGAAGGUCUCCGGAUCGUAAAACUCUGUUAUUAGGGAAGAACAAAUGUGUAAGUAACUAUGCACGUCUUGACGGUACCUAAUCAGAAAGCCACGGCUAACUACGUG
rnacentral:rRNA from 1 species